AUGCCAUGGGAAGGUUACAAUUUUGAAGAAGCAAUACUAAUUAGCGAACCUUUGGUAUAUGAAGAUAUUUAUACCUCUGUUCACAUCCGGAAAUAUGAAAUUCAGACGGAUACAACAAGCCAGGGCUCCGCUGAAAAAAUAUAUUUUAAAAAUAGGAAGGGCGAGAUAGAAUUCGAGCACUAUAGGUGGGGCGGUUACCAUAUAUAA
rnacentral:rRNA from 1 species